GACAAACUCCGAAUGCCAAUUAAUUUAACUUGGGAGUCAGAACAUGGGUGAUAAGGUCCGUGUUCGAAAGGGAAACAGCCCAGACCACCAGCUAAGGUCCCAAAAUAUAUGUUAAGUGGAAAAGGAUGUGGCGUUGCCCAGACAACUAGGAUGUUGGCUUAGAAGCAGCCAUCAUUUAAAGAGUGCGUAAUAGCUCACUAGUCGAGUGACACUGCGCCGAAAAUGUACCGGGGCUAAACAUAUUACCGAAGCUGUGGAUUGUCCUUUGGACAAUGGUAGGAGAGCGUUCUAAGGGCGUUGAAGCAUGAUCGUAAGGACAUGUGGAGCGCUUAGAAGUGAGAAUGCCGGUGUGAGUAGCGAAAGACGGGUGAGAAUCCCGUCCACCGAUUGACUAAGGUUUCCAGAGGAAGGCUCGUCCGCUCUGGGUUAGUCGGGUCCUAAGCUGAGGCCGACAGGCGUAGGCGAUGGAUAACAGGUUGAUAUUCCUGUACCACCUAUAAUCGUUUUAAUCGAUGGGGGGACGCAGUAGGAUAGGCGAAGCGUGCGAUUGGAUUGCACGUCUAAGCAGUAAGGCUGAGUAUUAGGCAAAUCCGGUACUCGUUAAGGCUGAGCUGUGAUGGGGAGAAGACAUUGUGUCUUCGAGUCGUUGAUUUCACACUGCCGAGAAAAGCCUCUAGAUAGAAAAUAGGUGCCCGUACCGCAAACCGACACAGGUAGUCAAGAUGAGAAUUCUAAGGUGAGCGAGCGAACUCUCGUUAAGGAACUCGGCAAAAUGACCCCGUAACUUCGGGAGAAGGGGUGCUCUUUAGGGUUAACGCCCAGAAGAGCCGCAGUGAAUAGGCCCAAGCGACUGUUUAUCAAAAACACAGGUCUCUGCUAAACCGUAAGGUGAUGUAUAGGGGCUGACGCCUGCCCGGUGCUGGAAGGUUAAGAGGAGUGGUUAGCUUCUGCGAAGCUACGAAUCGAAGCCCCAGUAAACGGCGGCCGUAACUAUAACGGUCCUAAGGUAGCGAAAUUCCUUGUCGGGUAAGUUCCGACCCGCACGAAAGGCGUAACGAUUUGGGCACUGUCUCAACGAGAGACUCGGUGAAAUCAUAGUACCUGUGAAGAUGCAGGUUACCCGCGACAGGACGGAAAGACCCCGUGGAGCUUUACUG
rnacentral:rRNA from 1 species